UUGACUUAUUUAAAAAUCUUACUCAGAGAGGCCAAUGGUUGCAAUGGUUUGGUUGUGUCCCUCCGGCGGGCGCCCCGCGAGGGGGCCGGGAGAGGCGCCCACUAGGGGUUGGCCUGCCCGCCGAAGCAACGAAUGUGGGGUAACGUUCGCGAUGGUUUAAGGGAGUUUUGCAACUCUUUAAUGAUCCCUCCGCUGGUUCACCAACGGAGA
rnacentral:misc_RNA from 1 species